GGUUCGGGUCGCUGCUGCUCACGCGUUCAGAGGCGUUCAUGUCCACCCCCUGCACCGUGGCCUUCCGGUACUGAGUGAAGCAGAGGACGUGAGCCGAGCACCUCACCGCCUUUGGCCAGAAACCACGCAAGGGGCAUUUAAUAUUAAACCCCACUAAUUCAGCCUUAAGUCAAAGGGAUCAGAUACGGACGUUGAAUAGAUGUGUGCUACAGGCCCCUUGGAGUGAGCUUAUCUGGUAUGGGAGUGAAGCUGUCAUGGGCAGGGCUGGGGUGCCCGCAGGUGUCUCGAGGUGGGGUGCUGCUUACAGCACCCGCAUCAGGAAGUUCACAGGAAAGCUGCAGUGUAAGCGCCGAGUCUGUGCUGCUGCUGGUGUAAGCCUGGAGAUCUUUGCUGGAGGAAUGAAGAACCAGUGCAAUGAAACUGGCAUCCUGAACAGAUACAACUCAGAAUGGUAAGCCCAGGCGUCAGUGUAUCUUAGGUCUGAUUUUGCCCUUUCCUGUGCAUGCGUGGAAUGAUGUACAAUGGUAACCAGAAUCAGGCUGCAGUUGUUUGGGCAGCCCUUGCGUGAGGCCUGUCCAUUUUGUCCACUGUUUUGUCAUUGAACAGGGCUGAGCUGUGCAUCUGUCAGGGGCAGGUAUGGCCAGCACUCAUGGCUUGUGUGGAAAGAAGUUUGACUGCAUUUUAAAAGGUUCCUGUGUUGUCUCUGCAGCCCAUUUGGCUGGCAGUAGUUUUCCAUUGUUUGAGAGAUUUCCAAACAUAGUAAAAGGCCUAGUAACUGGCAAUGUGCCAUCUGCUCUGGGUCGAGGGGGGCUGAGUCUGAACAUGGCAGAAAAAUACAUUCCAAAGCCCCAGUUCUGCUUGGACAGGGGAGCAUCCCACAGCUUGUGCCACACUGACAAGAGGCCAUUGUGCAAUGUCUGCUCUAGUGCCUGACCACCAAGUGACAGCCAUGAACAAGCUGCUUUGCACAACAAAGAAAAUCCUGUGGAAACCAUUUUAGAAGCCUGGAGGAGGACUGAGACUAGAGAUAUAAUGAUUUCAGUGUGUACAACAGAUGGAGACUUCAGAGCAUGGAGCCACUUAUCUAUGGAUUACAGACUCCCUAAUUAUAGACUGACACCAUAUCUGAGAGGCAGCAUCAGCCAAAGGAGGGACAAAAUCCAAAAGCCAGCCUUGACAUUGACUAUAAUAUUAAUCCCAGUAUGAUCCUAUCUUAUUGACUCCUGGUCUUGGAGUAAAUAAAAACCCAUUACUCCUGCUACU